CAGAAAUCAAAGGACCAGACCGUCGCCUCUGAGAACACACUGCUCAAAAGGCUGCUAACGCCUGCACAGAUGAAGUGGACAUCUGAUCCUUCAUGUCCUAUUGAGCAACAUGGAUGGAGCUGGAAAAGAU